UAACAAUCAUUAAACAUAUGGUAGGCUAGUUGGGUAACCGUUCACCAGCACCAUUGUAGGUCUAUCGCUAUUCACAGCCUUCUUCCAGAGGAUUCACUAUGAGGUUCCUGGUUCUCCUGCUGCUCAUUGCGGUCUUGGCGACUUCCGAAGCCUGUGAACCUUCUGGAUGGAUGUCCGAAGCAUCCGGAAAGGUCGUGGAAUGGAUCGAUCCUUCUUACUGGUCGUCUAGGAGUUCUAAAUUAAUCAGCCGUUAGUAAAGUUCCGUCAACUGGAAGAGCCAUUCCUUCUAUACUGAUUCCAUGCUUCUCCUGCAGAAGUAAUUCUUUAAUAAAAUAAUUAACCGAA